rnacentral:rRNA from 1 species
GGUUUAAUUCGAAGCAACGCGAAGAACCUUACCAAAUCUUGACAUCCUCUGACCCCUCUAGAGAUAGAGUUUUCCCCUUCGGGGGACAGAGUGACAGGUGGUGCAUGGUUGUCGUCAGCUCGUGUCGUGAGAUGUUGGGUUAAGUCCCGCAACGAGCGCAACCCUUAAGCUUAGUUGCCAUCAUUAAGUUGGGCACUCUAAGUUGACUGCCGGUGACAAACCGGAGGAAGGUGGGGAUGACGUCAAAUCAUCAUGCCCCUUAUGAUUUGGGCUACACACGUGCUACAAUGGACAAUACAAAGGGCAGCGAAACCGCGAGGUCAAGCAAAUCCCAUAAAGUUGUUCUCAGUUCGGAUUGUAGUCUGCAACUCGACUAUAUGAAGCUGGAAUCGCUAGUAAUCGUAGAUCAGCAUGCUACGGUGAAUACGUUCCCGGGUCUUGUACACACCGCCCGUCACACCACGAGAGUUUGUAACACCCGAAGCCGGUGGAGUAACCAUUUGGAGCUAGCCGUCGAAGGUGGGACAAAUGAUUGGGGUGAAGUCGUAACAAGGUAGCCGUAUCGGAAGGUGCGGCUGGAUCACCUCCUUUCUAAGGA